UUACCGGCUCUAAUGGCAUGAAAGUCCUUCGGGCCAAGGUGCUGCAUGGUUGUCGUCAGCUCGUGCCGUGAGGUGUUGGGUUAAGUCCCGCAACGAGCGCAACCCUAUUUUAGUUGCCAGCAUAUGGGACUCUAAAAGACUGCCGGCGUAACCGGAGGAAGGUGGGGACGACGUCAAAUCAUCAUGGCCUUUAUGCCGGGCGACACACGUGCUACAAUGGCAUACAAGGGGCACCGCGAGGGGAGCAAUCCCAAAAUGAUCCCAGUUCGGAUUGGAGUCUGCAACUCGACUCCAUGAAGGUGGAAUCGCUAGUAAUCGCGAUCAGCAUGCGCGGUGAAUACGUUCCCGGACCUUGUACACACCGCCCGUCAAGCCAUGGAAGCUGGGGACCGAA
rnacentral:rRNA from 1 species